rnacentral:tRNA from 1 species
GCCAGUGUGGUGAAAUUGGUAGACACAGGGGAUUCAAAAUCCCCCGGGGUAAAACCCGUGCCGGUUCGAGUCCGGCCACUGGUACCA